rnacentral:lncRNA from 1 species
GAUUGGUGGUUGCAAUCCUGGAAACUGCAGCAGUAUGGGAACUUAGUGGAACACCUCCAAGUGAAAUAUGACCCGUAGUCCCAGCUACUCGGAAGGCUGGGGCAGGAGAAUCACUUGAACCCUGGAGCUGGAGGUUGCAGAGAGCCAAGAUCAUGCCACUGCACUCAAGCCUGGGCGACAGAGUGAGAAUCUGUCUAAACAACAAACAAACAAACAAAAAAUGAUGACCCAGACAUCUCAAUCCUUCAUGGCCCCAUUGACAGAACCUCUGCCUUCAUCUACUUGGAGCUGGACUGGCUUGUGUCUGGGUUGUUUGACAGAACAGAGCAGAAGUGAUGCUGCUCAUUCCUGGACUUAGACUUCAAGAGCCUAAGAGGACUGACAGUUCCCACCUUUUGAUUCAUUAUGUGAGAUAUCCAAGUGGUGGUUAGAAUCUUAUCCAGCCUCUUGGUUUUCAAUGUUUUUCAGACCAAUGCAGUUUUAUUUUUCUACAAAAAAGUUUUUUUCUGAUUGUAAAUUAGUUUCUUGAAGAAAAUCUGGAAAAUACAAAAAAAGUGAGAUAAUAAAAAUCACUGGUAAUAUACUUCUUAGUGAUAAACACUACUAACAUUUUGGGAUAUAUUCUUGCAGUUUUGCCUUUGCAACUAAAUCUGUAUCUAGCCAUCAUUUAUCUGUCAAUCAAUUUAUCUUUAUGUAUUUUAUCAAAAAUGUUUGGCUUGAUUUAUAUGUACUUUUCCUAAACUCUGUCAAGUUCCUGACUACAACUGUUCUUCUCCUAUUCUUAGCAGCUUGAGACACUGUGACAAGGUAUUAGAAGGUGUUUGAGUUGAAGAAUUAUUUAUUAAGAAUGAAAGCAUGAAAGAGGAAAGAGAGAACAAGAGCCACAGUUUCCUUUUUAAGAAUAAAAUGUCCAGUCCUUAGCAAAUCCAGUGUCUCCAUCUUUUUAUUCUCAAUGCUGGGUUUCUUAUUUUCCAAGAACCCAUUUUUGUUAAGGGAAUGGAGGGUAUGAGCUACAAAAGAACUUCUCCCCAUGAAAGCACCUAUUCAGCAGAUGCUCCAUUUCCUAAAACCCUUCAUCUAGUUAAAUAAAUGACAGCCAGCAUAGACCUGCAAGUUUCCAAUGAUGAAACUUUUUAAGAUAAUGAGUUCUGCUUCAGGUAGUACCAGGUGAAAUAAAAUCACAGAACACUAUUCUCAAAAGUUGACUGCAAAGGCUGGGGUUAAUUGCAUGAAAGGUGAUGGAGCUGCUGGAGUAGAACAGGUCAGAAUGCACUGGCUGGCAUGGAUGCUAGAUGCCCUGUCUAGAGGUCCCAGGGAGGAGAAUGGCUAAUACCUCAGUAACAUAUAGUAAGUAAAGCCCACCAAUCAUUUGUAGCUCCAGAGUUACACAAAAUAAAUCCUUGGAUAAAGCAUCUGCUCUAUGAGGAUGAUGAGAAGGUGAGCACAAACCAAAGGAAAGGAUACUCUGACAAGCUCAAACUAUUGUAGCUAUGAAGAAUCA